UACGUAGGGGCAAGCGUUGUCCGGAGUUAUUGGGCGUUAAAGAGCGUGUAGGCGGCCAGACAGUCUGCUGUGAAACUCGAGGCUCAACCUCGAGCUGUCGGUGGAAACUGUCUGGCUAGAGUCCGGAAGAGGAGAGUGGAAUUCCUGGUGUAGCGGUGAAUGCGCAGAUAUCAGGAAGAACACCUAUGGCGAAGGCAGCUCUCUGGGACGGUACUGACGCUGAGACGCGAAAGCGUGGGGAGCGAACAGG
rnacentral:rRNA from 1 species